rnacentral:rRNA from 1 species
UGAAUACGAGAUGCUACGGCAUCGAAGCAGUCUAUGUCAUACUUCCAAGAAAAGCUUGCACUGUCAUAAACAAAUAAUGCCUGUACCAUAACCGACACAGGUGGGUAGGUAGAGUAUACUAAGGGGCGCGAGAUAACUCUCUCUAAGGAACUCGGCAAAAUGACUCCGUAACUUCGGGAGAAGGAGUGCCUUAUUUUAUAAGGUUGCAAUAACAAGAUCCAAGCAACUGUUUACCAAAAACACAGGUCUCCGCUAAGUCGUAAGACGAUGUAUGGGGGCUGACGCCUGCCCAGUGCCAGAAGGUUAAAGAAGUUGGUUAGCAUUAGCGAAGCUGAUAACUGAAGCCCUGGUGAACGGCGGCCGUAACAAUAACGGUCCUAAGGUAGCGAAAUUCCUUGUCGGGUAAGUUCCGACCCGCACGAAAGGCGUAAUGAUUUGGAUACUGUCUCGGAGAGGGGCUCGGUAAAAUAGACUUGUCUGUGAAGAUGCGGACUACCUGCACCAGGACAGAAAGACCCUAUGAAGCUUUACUGUAACUUGAGAUUGAAAUUGGACUUUAUUUGCGCAGUAUAGGUGGGAGACGUUGAAAAUAUUCUUGCGGGAAUAUUGGAGUCAUCAGUGAGAUACCACUCUUAUAAUGUUAGAUUUCUAACUUUGUAUCAUUAUCUGGUCAAAGAACAGUCUCAGGCGGGCAGUUUGACUGGGGCGGUCGCCUCCCAAACGGUAACGGAGGCGCACAAAGGUUUCCUCUGAACGUGUAGAAAUCGUAUCUAGAGUGUAAAGGCAUAAGGAAGCUUGACUGUGAGACCUACAAGUCGAGCAGGGACGAAAGUCGGUCUUAGUGAUCUGACGGUGCUGAGUGGAAAGGCCGUCACUCAACGGAUAAAAGUUACUCUAAGGAUAACAGGCUGAUCUCCCCCAAGAGUUCACAUCGACGGGGAGGUUUGGCACCUCGAUGUCGGCUCAUCGCAUCCUGGGGCGGUAGUACGUCCCAAGGGUUGGGCUGUUCGCCCAUGAAAGCGGUACGCGAGCUGGGUUCAGAACGUCGUGAGACAGUUCGGUCCAUAUCCGGUGUAGGCGUUAGAAUAUUGAGAGGAGCCUUCUUUAGUACGAGAGGACCGAGAAGGACAUACCUCUGGUGUACCAGUUAUCGUGCCAACGGUAAACGCUGGGUAGCUAUGUAUGGAGAGGAUAACCGCUGAAAGCAUCUAAGUGGGAAGCCCACCUCAAGAUAAGUA